rnacentral:lncRNA from 1 species
AGGGAGGGGCACAGGGGGCUGAGGAGUGCUGCGUUGGGCUUCCAGCUCCCUACAACGCAGACCAGUACUGGAGUUCGUGCUGCUGGAAGACCGCCGCCCGACUCUGGGCCCCGGGUAGGAAACGUAAGUGCCAGGAAGUUAGCAGAGUGGUUCUUUGGCUGGCGCCUGAACCUCGCCAGUCUUCGUCGCCCCUCCCCUGCCAACGCCUACCCCGCUUCGACCGGAGGGUGCGCUGUCCCUCUGGUCACUGUGAUCACCGUCCCUGGCCGCCUGCGGAUACCCACGCCGCGCUCAGAAGAGGGCUCUGAGGCCACGCCCGCCUGUGGGGUCGGUGGCCGGGCUUCCGGGACCCCAGAGGGAGUCGUCGCGCGCUAGGUGGAGGGGACCCCUCUGGAAUCCGGCGAUCCCCGGGCGCAGAUGCAGGAGCGAGUGGGGAGAGCCGCGUUCCUGGCAUGUUUGCCUCGAGUUAGUCACGAAGGAAUCGAAGAGAGCCUUAGUCUUCGAGGCUUUUCCCUUCCUGUGAGCCCCUUUGAGGCCAGCACAUUGAUUUUUUUUUCUUUCGCAGAACAAUUUCGGACCUCCUGGGGUCUAUGCUAGGUAUGAGGUGUAUCUUUGCCCUCCAUCAAGUAGCAAAGAUGGACAUGUAAACAAAUUUCGACACUGUGAUGACUGCCACAAAAAGCAGCAUUAUGAGGUUGAAUGUAAAAGGAUAACCUUAGCGGCGGCGGGGGCCGGAGGAUGAAGGAAGGCUUCCUGAGGUAGGCGCUGGUUGAAACUGAAGUUGGAGAGAGCAAGUGGCAUUUGCUGAAGUGCAUUUCCGGUAGAAAACUCCAGUGGUCCCUCACCUGACUGAGUGGCGCAGUCAGAGAUAAAUGGAACAGAGUCUACAAAUAAACAUUUUAUAAAGAUGAUCCUUCAAUACAUAUUCUACAGCCCAGUUAAAAUGUGAGAGGCCAUGAUCUACAGACAGCCGUUUAUAAAGGUGGAUCAGGGCCGGACACGGUGGCUCAACGUCUGUAAUCCCGGCACUCUGGGAGGCCAAAGCGGGAGGAUCGCUUGAGCCCAGGAGUUCGAGACCAACCUGGCCAACAUGGUGAGACCCCAUCUUUACAAAAAAAUAUAUAUAUCCAAGCAUAGUGGUGUGCACCUGUGCUCCUGUGGUCCCAGCUACUCAGGAAGCUGAGGCAGUCGAGGCUGCAGUGAGCCACGUUCUGGCCACUACACUCCAGCCUGGGCAUCAAAGUGACAAGACCAAAAAAAAAAAAAUGUGGAUUGGAAGGAGGCAAGAAAGAAGGCAGGAAAAGGGUGGAAUGUAAGUCCCUAAGGACACAAUCUUACUCACAAUUGUAUCUCCAACAUUUGGCAUAAUGCCUAAUAUGUAAGUAUUUUAUGAAUUAAUUAAACGAGAACACAAGCCUAAAUUAAGGCAAUGGCAAUGGAGAAGAAGAAACCAACUUGAGAAAUAUUUAAAGGUCAUUGUCAAUGGAAGUUAGUGACUUUAAUGGUUAAUUUUAUCUAUCAACUUGGCUAGGCGAUGCUACCCAUGUUACUCAGUUUUUGGUCAAACACUAGUCUAGUUGUUGCUAUGAAUUGUAUUUGUUAGAUGUGAUUAACAUUUAAAUCAGCAGACUUUGAUUAAAGUACAUUACCCUCUAUAAUGAGGGUGGGCCGCAUCCGGUCAGUUCAAAUUAAAACGAGACCCUUAAGAAGAAGCAAUUCAGCCUCCAGACUGCAGCGUCAAAUCUCCCUGGGUCUCCAGGCUGUUUGUCUGCCCUGCAGAUUUCAGACUUGCCAGCUCCCAGAAUAAUGUGAGCCAAUUCCUUAAAAUAAAUCUCUUUCUGCAUAUACACAUCCUAUUGAUUCUGUUUCUCUGGAGAACCCAUACUAAUAUAGUGUCUGACUAGAUAUGAAGGAGGAGGGGAAGGGAGAAAUAGAAGAUAGACGAUGCCUUUGGAUAUUGAGUCUGACACUUAUCUAGUUGCUUAAGUCAAAAACCUGAAAACUGGCUAGGCACGCCUAUUACGGGCUCACGCCUGUAAUCCCAGCACUUAGGGAGGCUGAGGCAGGCAGAUCAUUUGAAGUAAUUCAAGACCAGCCUGGCCAACAUGAUGAAACCCCAAGACCACUAAAAAUACAAAAAUUAGCCGGGCGUGGUGGCACAUGCCUGUAACCCCAGCUCCUCAGGAGGCUAAAGCAGGAGAAUUGCUUGAACCCAGGAAACAGAGGUUGCAGUGAGCCGAGAUUGUGCUACUCCACUCCAGCCUGGGAGAGACUCCAUCCGAAAACAAACAACAAAAAAAAAUGCUGGGCGCGGUGGCUCACGCCUGUAAUCCCAGCACUUUGGGAGGCUGAGGCGGGCGGAUCACCUGAGGUCAGGAGUUCAAGACCAGCCUGGCCAAUGUGGCAAACCCCGUCUCUACUAAAAAUAAAAAAAAAAUUAGCUGGGCAUGUUGGCGGGCACCGUAAUACCAGCUACUCGGGAAGAUGAGGCAGGAGAAUCACUUGAACUGGGAGGCAGAAGUUGCAGUGAGCCAAGAUCGCGCCAUUGCACUUUAGCCUGGGCGACAAGCGAAACUCCAUCUCAAAAAAAAAGAAGAAGAAGGCUGGGCGCGGUGGCUCAUGCCUGUAAUCCCAGCACUUUGGGAGGCCGAGGUGGGUGGAUCACUUGAGGUCAGUAGUUCGAGACUAGCCUGGACAUGGUGAAACCUGUCUCUACUAAAAAUACAAAAAUUAGCCAGGUGUAGUGGCUCAUGCCUAUAAUUCCAGCUACUUGGGAGGUUGAGGCAGGACAAUGGUUUGAACCCAGGAGGCAGAGGUUGUAGUGAGCCGAGAUUGUGCCACUACACUCCAGCCUGGAUGACACUCUAUC